UGCAUCUGAAGCCUGACGAGGAUGAGAACCUCCGGGGGCAAGAGGUUCGACUCGAGCGCAGCGAGAGAACGUUGCGUCAGCAACGGCCCGCAGG
rnacentral:sRNA from 2 species